rnacentral:rRNA from 1 species
GAUAAACGCUGGCGGCGUGCAUGAGACAUGCAAGUCGAACGGACGAUCAGGGCUUGCUCUGAUCGUUAGUGGCGGACGGCUGAGUAACGCGUAGGUGACCUGCCCCGAAGUGGGGAAUAACUGCCCGAAAGGGUGGCUAAUACCGCAUGUGGUGGUGUGUUCAUUCACACCAGUAAAGCCGCAAGGCGCUACGGGAGGGGCCUGCGUCCGAUUAGCUCGUUGGUGGGGUAACGGCUCACCAAGGCGACGAUCGGUAGGUGGUCUGAGAGGACGAUCACCCAGACUGGGACUGAGACACGGCCCAGACUCCUACGGGAGGCAGCAGUCGGGAAUUUUGCGCAAUGGACGAAAGUCUGACGCAGCAACGCCGCGUGAGGGAUGACGGCCUUCGGGUUGUAAACCUCUUUUGUCAGGGACGAUGAUGACGGUACCUGACGAAUAAGUCACGGCUAACUACGUGCCAGCCGCCGCGGUAAAAC